UACGUAGGUGGCAAGCGUUGUCCGGAUUUAUUGGGCGUAAAGAGCUCGUAGGCGGUUUGGUAAGUCGGGUGUGAAAUCUCCACGCUCAACGUGGAGGGGCCACUCGAUACUGCCAUGACUCGAGUCCGGUAGAGGAGUGUGGAAUUCCCGGUGUAGCGGUGAAAUGCGCAGAUAUCGGGAGGAACACCGGUGGCGAAGGCGGGUCUCUGGGCCGAUACUGACGCUGAGGAGCGAAAGCGUGGGGAGCGAACAGG
rnacentral:rRNA from 1 species